ACAUCAUGUUUGGCCUAAAUAUGGGAUGUGGUUGGGCUUGGUCUUACAUUUGUACGCGUUUGCCAUUAGUGUGGUUCAUGAUGACACAGCUGAGAUAGAAGAACAUUUAGCGCCUCUAGCGGUGAGUUAGGUUACUGACCGUGCUCUUCCACUCGACUCGAGAGUAGGCAGUAUGCUGCUACUCCGCAGUGUUUGUGAAGCUCGAACAGAGGAAAGCAGUUGUAGCCUAGGCUACUGAAGCACACGCGAAAUUGAGAAGGAAAUUGUAACUACCCAUGAAAACAACACAGAAGUUAUGUCUGCUGUCUUAUCGAUGUCAAUUAUAGGCUACUUCGUUCAGAAGUAACAUUUGGAUUAUGUUUGAGGCUACUGGAGAACUGUAAGAACAGCGGCGUUGGAACGAUGAUGAUGAGAACAGGUGUGGAAAAACCCCCUUUGGCACCCAAGCCAAAAGCCAUUCAAAAGACACAAAAACCAAAACCACCACCUAUAGCACCUAAGCCAGGUGUACUUUCACAGCCUUCUUCAGUGGAGAAAAGAACAGAGAAGCCACCAAUUGCACCUAAACCAUGCCUUCCCCAAAAUACCCACACAUCCGCACAUGAGAAACCUCCAGUUCUGAGGACAAAUGGUCCUCUCUUAGCACAACAGAAAUUAGGGACCACUAGUAAUGUGGGUUUGCUCAAUUCAAGGAAUGGUAUACAUCUGGGGCCAAAGAAACGUGAAUGGGAUUACAUAAUUCCAAUUUGUGUCUGCAGUCGGGACGAUUGUCCACAAUGCAAGCCAAAGGAGGACAGCAAACAAGCUAUAACAAAUAUUGGCCAUCCAGGAAAAGACCAGGGAAACAAGCAAAAUGAAGGCUUCAAGAAGCUUGUACCAAGAUGUCGAACAAAAUUUGACAUAGAGCCUGACAUGGCAGAAACCAAGAACGGCCUUAUCAGCACUUGGAUUCCAAAUAGCUCACCGCUUGAGAGUCUCCGUAGCAACAGUAGUUCCGUGCGAAGGGCUCAGGAAGUGAUGGAGGAGCAGAGCAGCCCUGUCGAGAGGCUUGAUGACCGUAACGCUGCUCACAGGAACUCCACGUUCAGAACUAGACGCACUCCUCUUCAGAGGACCUGGAGCGAUGAGGUCAACGGUAACACUCACUGUCAACCUUCAAGGACCUCUGCAGAGCCCUCAGACAGCCACAGAUUAGACGGGAACCAAAUCAGAGACUCCACAGGGAUCACCCCCUCAAUCCCAGCAGCCCCCCAGAAGCCCCUACCUACUCCAGCGCCCCGCAGGCCGAGGGCAGAGACCCCAGUACACCAGGGGGACACUAAAAUGUGCAAAGAUGACAUGAGAACAUCUAGUGGUAUGAAUCUCACUGAGACAAUGACUGAUGCAGUGAACAUCACUGCAGUUUCUAGUGAAAACACCUCCUUAUAUGAAUCUGUUGAAACAGGCUAUGUGGAUUUGCACAUGCCAGUUCCUAUUCCGAGACAGAAAACGGGAAACCUGGAAAAGCCUGCUCCGUUUGGCCGGACGGAGAUCGCAAACGUGGCAGAGUAUUUCUAUAAAGCAACGGAAUUCUCAGUAGAUGCUGAUGACGGUGACGUUGAGAACAGUGAGAGUCCAUGCACAGUUAUCCAACCUAAACAGCUGAAGCUUACCAAUCAACUCACUGUGGCAACAAGGGUAAGGUCAGAAAAUGGAAAGCCACCAAUAACAUCCCCAGAAAAGCAACAUAGACAGCACUUCCCUACUGUCACAUCUCAGAGCACAAAGAAAGAGGAGAACACCUUGGGAAUAGCUAAAGACAAUCAGAGCUAUCUUAAUCCUGCUCCAAAAGAACUGGACAAUACAAAGAAGUCAGUUGGAAAGCAAGUUUCUAAUUCCAGCCCUGGCAACACAAAGGGGAAGCUGUUUGGUCAAAGCCUGAGGCCAAAAGCCAAGUCUUUCACAUCCGUGGAUCUGCUUCGCCCUGAUGGAAGCAAAAAAAUCUCUUUCCGGAAGUUUCUGGACAUUAAUAUUUCCGUGAAAAAGCUGCCCAAACUUUUGACCAAACGGGGACAGGCCACUGAUUGCAUGUCAGUGGAAAUGGAAGAGUCUGUGGAUGGGGACGAGGAGAGAGAGGGAACCCCCGCUGGGAAGGCCAAACCUCCCGCGAAUCGGAAGCUGUCCUGUCCAGUGAUCGGCAUGGAGCAGAGUGUGGACGGAGAGGACAUCUUCCCUGGGGCAGAAGCUGCAGUGGAGUACGAGAACUUCCCAAUCUAUGAGGAUAUUCCAGAUUACAUGAACCUUCCAGGCUCAAGUGCGUUAGCUCCCUCUACAGCCCCAGACUCGUGGCAGAGCUCCUCCUGGCUGGAGGAGGAGGACAUAUAUGAGGAGCAGGAGCCUUAUGAGCUGAUAGGAGAGUACGCUGAUGACACACAACAGCACAACGGAUACGAGAGGGCCAGGAUUGAGGAGGAUGUGGGUCAGGGUUAUGGGCACUCUGAAGAGGAGAUCUGCCACAGUUCAGAGGAUGAGGAUGAUCGGAGCACAAGCUCAAGCCAAGGGGAUCAUGAAGGUUCUGAACACAAUCAUCAUGUUGGAGAAACCAAGAAGAGCAAAGUGGUUCAUAUCGCCAGAGAAAUAAUGAGUUCAGAAAAAGUGUUUGUGGAUGUUCUGAAGCUUCUUCAUAUUGACUUUCGAGAUGCAGUGGCCAAGGUCUCUCAGCAGGCAGGAAAGCCUGUGAUUGAGGAGCGCAACCUGAAUCAGAUCCUGUACUACCUCCCACAGUUAUAUGAGCUCAACCAGGACCUGCUUAAAGAGCUGGAGGACCGGGUAGCCCAAUGGGAUCAGUAUUCCCAGUUAGCCGACAUCUUUGUUAAGAAAGGGCCAUAUCUAAAGAUGUACUCCACGUAUAUCCGCGAGUUCGACAAGAAUGUGGCCCUACUAGAUGAGCAGUGUCGGAAGAACCCAAGCUUCGCCGCAGCUGUGAGGGAAUUUGAAGCAAGCCCUCGUUGUGCCAACUUAGCACUGAGGCAUUACCUACUGAAACCCAUUCAGAGGAUACCUCAAUACCAGCUAUUACUAACAGAUUACUUAAAGAAUCUCACAGAAGACUCAACAGACUACAAAGACACCCAAGCUGCUUUAAGUAUUGUUAAGGAGGUAGCCAAUCACGCCAACGACAUCAUGAAACAAGGGGAUAACUUUCAGAAACUCAUCGAAGUUCAGUGCAGGCUAACUGGGCACCAUGAGAUUGUUCAGCCGGGCAGGGUGUUCCUGAAAGAGGGAAUUCUGAUGAAGCUCUCGCGGAAAGUCAUGCAACCACGAAUGUUUUUCCUGUUCAACGAUGCCUUGCUGUACACAACUCCGGUCCAGUCGGGGCAGUUCAAGUUGAACAACAUGCUUUCUCUAGCAGGAAUGAAGGUCACUAGACCCAGUCAGGAGGGUUACCAAAAUGAACUCAACAUCGAGAGUGUUGAGCGCUCUUUCAUUCUAUCAGCAAGCUCCGAAUCAGAACGGGAUGCCUGGUUAGAGGCCAUCUCUACAGCCAUCGGUGAAUAUACCAAGAAGAUGAUCACUUUCAUUUCAAGCAGAUAUCAGGAAGAGGGGGAGGGAGAUGCCUCUGGGGCCUCCCUGGGCUCUAAAGCCCCCAUCUGGAUCCCAGACCCGCGUGCCACCAUGUGUAUGAUCUGCACCUGCGAGUUCACGCUCACCUGGAGGCGACACCACUGCAGGGCCUGCGGGAAGGUGGUGUGUCAGACUUGUUCAAAUAACAAGCAUCAGCUCGAGUACUUGAAGAACCAACCCGCUCGUGUGUGUGAUCAGUGCUUUGUCUCUCUACAGAAGAGGACAGCAGAACUGACCCUCGGCACAGGUGGCCAGGCGCAAAGCAAUGCCUCUUCAACUGGCAAAUCUGCCGCCUUCUCCCUUCAGGAAGCAGAAGAGGAUCCCUGCAGCUCUCAAAGAGGUGUCCGCAAACACAGAUGUCUCAUCUAUGAGUGGCUACCUUGAAAGGUCAAAGGGUAACAAGAAGCAAUGGAAAAGGUUUUGGUUUGUCAUCAAGGACAAAGUCCUAUACACAUAUGCUGCUAGUGAGGAUGUUGCCGCUCUUGAGAGUCAGCCUCUUCUGGGCUUCAAGCUGAGGACGGAGGAGAGGGCUGGCACCACACAGACCCUGCAGUUCAAGCUCUAUCAUAAAGACACCCUCCAUCACAUGUUUAAAGCAGAU